rnacentral:rRNA from 1 species
UGGGGAAUUUUGGACAAUGGGCGAAAGCCUGAUCCAGCAAUGCCGCGUGUGUGAAGAAGGCCUUCGGGUUGUAAAGCACUUUUGUCCGGAAAGAAAACGCCGUGGUUAAUACCCGUGGCGGAUGACGGUACCGGAAGAAUAAGCACCGGCUAACUACGUGCCAGCAGCCGCGGUAAUACGUAGGGUGCAAGCGUUAAUCGGAAUUACUGGGCGUAAAGCGUGCGCAGGCGGUCCGCUAAGACAGAUGUGAAAUCCCCGGGCUUAACCUGGGAACUGCAUUUGUGACUGGCGGGCUAGAGUAUGGCAGAGGGAGGUAGAAUUCCACGUGUAGCAGUGAAAUGCGUAGAGAUGUGGAGGAAUACCGAUGGCGAAGGCAGCCCCCUGGGCCAAUACUGACGCUCAUGCACGAAAGCGUGGGGAGCAAACAGG